rnacentral:rRNA from 1 species
CCUACGGGUGGCAGCAGUAGGGAAUAUUGCUCAAUGGGGGAAACCCUGAAGCAGCAACGCCGCGUGGAGGAUGAAGGUUUUCGGAUUGUAAACUCCUUUUGUUAGAGAAGCUAAUGACGGUAUCUACCGAAUCAGCCCCGGCUAACUCCGUUCCAGCAGCCGCGGUCAUACGGAGGGUGCAAGCGUUACUCGGAAUCACUGGGCGUAAAGAGCGCGUAGGCGGGAUAGCAAGUCAGAUGUGAAAUCCUAUGGCUUAACCAUAGAACUGCAUUUGAAACUGUUAUUCUAGAGUAUGGGAGAGGUAGGUGGAAUUCUUGGUGUAGGGGUAAAAUCCGUAGAGAGCAAGAGGAAUACUCAUUGCGAAGGCGACCUGCUAGAACAUAACUGACGCUGAUGCGCGAAAGCGUGGGGAGCAAACAGGAUUAGAUACCCCAGUAGUC